UACGGAGGGUGCGAGCGUUAUCCGGAUUGAUUGGGCUUAAAGGGUGCGUAGGUGGGUAUGUAAGUCAGUGGUGAAAUCUCCGUGCUUAACACGGAAACUGCCAUUGAUACUAUGUUUCUUGAAUUUUCUGGAGGUUAGCGGAAUAUGUCAUGUAGCGGUGAAAUGCUUAGAUAUGACAUAGAACACCGAUUGCGAAGGCAGCUAGCUACAGGGAUAUUGACACUGAGGCACGAAAGCGUGGGGAUCAAACAGG
rnacentral:rRNA from 1 species